AGUUGCGAUCAUACCAUCACUAAUGCACCGGAUCCCAUCAGAACUCCGCAGUUAAGCGUGCUUGGGCGAGAGUAGUAUUAGGAUGGGUGACCCCCUGGGAAGUCCUCGUGUUGCAACCC
rnacentral:rRNA from 1 species